AACAAACGCUGGCGGCGUGCCUAACACAUGCAAGUCGUACGAGAAAGGGUCCUUCGGGGCCUGAGUAAAGUGGCGCACGGGUGAGUAACGCGUGAUAAUCUGCCCUUCAGUUGGGAAUAACCCAUCGAAAGGUGGGCUAAUACCGAAUAAUGCUGUGAGACCUCGGUUGAUCAGCCAAAGAGAGCCUCUGCUUGCAAGCCCUCGCUGAAGGAUGAGUCCGCGUACCAUUAGCUAGUUGGUAGGGUAAUGGCCUACCAAGGCGACGAUGGUUAGCUGGUCUGAGAGGAUGAUCAGCCACACUUGAACUGAGACACGGUCCAGACUCCUACGGGGGGCAGCAGUGAGGAAUCUUGCGCAAUGGGGGCAACCCUGACGCAGCAACGCCGCGUGAGUGAGGAAGGUCUUCGGAUCGUAAAGCUCUGUCGGAUGGAAAGAACCGCAUAGGGGUAAACAGCCCCUGUGUCUGACGGUACCAUCAAAGGAAGCACCGGCUACUCCGUGCCAGCCGCCGCCGUAAUAC
rnacentral:rRNA from 1 species